UGCAGUGAACCCAAAGGGGUUUCUCAUAAAGAAAAGUUUCAGUUGAUGGUUUACUCCAGACUCCAACAUGAAGUCAAGCACUGACAAAGUCAUUUGCCAGAAACAAACAAUUUAAGAAUAACAUUGAACCUUGUCUUAGUUAAAAAAGUUCAAGUAUGUUCUGAGCAUUCCUCCGUUCUUCGCCAAGGGCUACGUACUCUGUUCAUGCGUUGACAAACAGUCAUUAACUGUCAUUUCAUAGCUUCCAGUUCUUUACAAACAACUUUUUCGUGGUCUUUCAUAGUUUUUUUUGCUUGCUCUUCACUUCUGCAGAUAACACGAUAAGUCAGCAGGAAGAUUCUCAUUGCUCCAUUUUUAAUGUCCUCUCCCUCUAAAACCUCCUCCACCUCCUCUUCCUCCUCUGAAUCCUCCUCCUCCCCCGCCUCUUCCUCCACCUCCUCUGAAUCCUCCUCCUCCUCCUCUUCCCCCACCUCUUCCUC
rnacentral:lncRNA from 1 species